rnacentral:rRNA from 1 species
GACGAACGCUGGCGGCGUGCUUAACACAUGCAAGUCGAGCGGAAAGGCCCUGCUUUUGUGGGGUGCUCGAGUGGCGAACGGGUGAGUAACACGUGAGUAACCUGCCCUUGACUUUGGGAUAACUUCAGGAAACUGGGGCUAAUACCGGAUAGGAGCUCCUGCUGCAUGGUGGUGGUUGGAAAGUUUCGGCGGUUGGGGAUGGACUCGCGGCUUAUCAGCUUGUUGGGGGGGUAGUGGCUUACCAAGGCUUUGACGGGUAGCCGGCCUGAGAGGGUGACCGGCCACAUUGGGACUGCGAUACGGCCCAGACUCCUACGGGAGGCAGCAGUGGGGAAUCUUGCACAAUGGGCGGAAGCCUGAUGCAGCAACGCCGCGUGCGGGAUGCCGGCUUUCGGGUUGUAAACCGCUUUCGCCUGUGACGAAGCGUGAGUGACGGUAAUGGGUAAAGAAGCACCGGCUAACUACGUG